UUCAGCAUUAGCCCUUCUCAUGAAUAUUCAGGACUGAUUUCCUUUAGGAUGGACUGGUUGGGUCUCCUUGCAGUCCAAGGGGCUCUCAAGAGUCUUCUCCAACACCACAGUUCAAAAGCAUCGGCUCUUCAGCGAUCAGCUUUCUUAACAGUCCAACUCUCACAUCCAUACAUGACCACUGGAAAAAAACAUAGCCU